CCCUGUUCUGACAAAACGUCCUACCUAUCAAGCUGUCCUACUUGUUGUUACUGCGCAUGCGCACAAUUCAAAAUGGCCAUAUUUCCGGUUUAAAUAGUACACGCCUAUUAUUUCAUCCUACCCCGAUCUUGUGCCGAUCUCGUUGCUUUUGUGCCGAUCUCGUUGCUUCGAAAAAAGUUAUGGAGAACAAAUACGAGGAACUGCUCAUGUUUCUGUCUGUUGGGUCCUACCCAUCUGAAUACGAUAAGUCCCAGAGGCAAACCCUUAGGAGAUACGCCGCAAAAUUCAGGCUGAAGGGCGGAGUGCUCUUGUUUGGAAACAGGAGAGUGAUAAAAACAAAAGAAGAAGCCAUGGGACUAUUUCAAGAGUUUCAUUCAAGUCCCAUCGGUGGACACACUGGUGUACUCAAGACUCGAAUUGCAAUGUGUUCCAGAUUUUACUGAUAUGGAAUGUCGGUUGACAUUGUUAAUUGGGUCCUGGCUUGUGACCAGUGUCAAAAAAUGGGAAAACCAUUGGCUGCUGUGCAACCACUGCAGUGUAUAAAGGUGUCACAUGUCUGGGAGCUAAUCGGAAUAGAUCUAACUGGACCUCUUCCAAA